rnacentral:rRNA from 1 species
ACGCUGGCGGCAGGCCUAACACAUGCAAGUCGAGCGGUAGAGAGAAGCUUGCUUCUCUUGAGAGCGGCGGACGGGUGAGUAAUGCCUAGGAAUCUGCCUGGUAGUGGGGGAUAACGUCCGGAAACGGACGCUAAUACCGCAUACGUCCUACGGGAGAAAGCAGGGGACCUUCGGGCCUUGCGCUAUCAGAUGAGCCUAGGUCGGAUUAGCUAGUUGGUGGGGUAAUGGCUCACCAAGGCGACGAUCCGUAACUGGUCUGAGAGGAUGAUCAGUCACACUGGAACUGAGACACGGUCCAGACUCCUACGGGAGGCAGCAGUGGGGAAUAUUGGACAAUGGGCGAAAGCCUGAUCCAGCCAUGCCGCGUGUGCGAAGAAGGUCUUCGGAUUGUAAAGCACUUUAAGUUGGGAGGAAGGGCAGUAAAUUAAUACUUUGCUGUUUUGACGUUACCGACAGAAUAAGCACCGGCUAACUCUGUGCCAGCAGCCGCGGUAAUACAGAGGGUGCAAGCGUUAAUCGGAAUUACUGGGCGUAAAGCGCGCGUAGGUGGUUCGUUAAGUUGGAUGUGAAAUCCCCGGGCUCAACCUGGGAACUGCAUUCAAAACUGACGAGCUAGAGUAUGGUAGAGGGUGGUGGAAUUUCCUGUGUAGCGGUGAAAUGCGUAGAUAUAGGAAGGAACACCAGUGGCGAAGGCGACCACCUGGACUGAUACUGACACUGAGGUGCGAAAGCGUGGGGAGCAAAC